rnacentral:misc_RNA from 1 species
CGCGAUCGACGAUUACCUUGCUUCGGCCGUCGAUUUCGUCCUCGACGAGCGUUACCUCUACGAGGUUACUCAAUCGGGACGGCCCGCGACGACGCUGACGUUGAUCGUGAAAAUGGCGGUCGACGGCACGCUCUGCUUCGAGGCCGACGACGGCGGGCGACUCUACUUCGGUAAGCACGAACGUUGCUGGUUCGCGUAUCGCGUCGAAGGACGCAAUGCGGCACUGGCCGCGAUCUACCGAGCGAUGCCGAUGUUGCCGCUCGCGCCGUCGCGGCCGCUGCAGUGGAACGACCGGCUGCCGGUCGCCGUGCUCGCUUCGGGCCGGCGACGUUGGAUAGCCCAAUUACUGGCGGCCGUCGCGCCGAGUUCGGCCCAAGCCGAAGUCGGCGGUCGGUUCCUCGAUCGCCGCACGGCGAUCACGACCGUGCGGCAUCGGCCGCUCGGCGAGGCGGCCGCCUCCCGCGUCACGUUCGACGACCGCAAGGGGUUUGCGGCGAUCGAGUGCGGCGACUUUCAUCUUCGGAGAAUCGAUCAUGAUUCGUUGGCUUGAAGCGUUGGCGGCCGUCGUCGUGGUCGGAACCGCCGCGGCGGGAACGAAAAGUGCGAAUCCCUCGACGGCCGAGAUUUUCUCGCAAUCGAUCACGGCCGAGCAAUCGCAGAACUACGCCGAAGCGAUCCGCGUGUUGUUGCCGGUCUAUCAAACGUCGAAGCGGGAAUACUUUGUGAACGUCCGCCUCGGCUGGCUCUAUUACCUCAACGGGGCCUAUGCUAACUCGCAGCAACAUUAUCAACUGGCCGUGUUCGCGGCCCCGAAGGCGAUUGAGCCGCGCCUCGGCGCUUUGUUGCCCCUGCUGGCCCAGGCGCGUUACGCCGAUGCCGAAGUGACGGCCCGCGAGGCGUUGCGGAUCGAUGCGAACAACUACUACGCCAAUCUCCGGCUGGCGUAUGCCCUGCGGAUGCAAU